rnacentral:rRNA from 1 species
AGUCAAAUCUGCCCAAUGAUAAAUUUUAAUGGCUGCAGUAUAACUAACUGUACAAAGGUAGCAUAAUAAUUAGUUUUUUAAUUAAAAACUAGAAUGAAUGAUUUAAUGAGAUAUAAACUAUAUAAAAAUAAAUAAAAUUUAAAUUUAAAAUUUAAGUAAAAAUGCUUAAAUUUUAUUAAAAGACGAGAAGACCCUAUAGAAUUUUAUAUUUAAAUAAGUUUAUAAUAAUAAUAAUUUUAAAAACUUAUUUAUAUAUUUAAUUGGGGUAAUUUUAAAAUUAAAUAAACUUUUAAAAUAUAAACAUUAAUUAAUGAAUAAAAAAUCCUA